rnacentral:lncRNA from 1 species
CUCCCAGCGCUCAUCUUCCCAAUGAUCCAUCCCAGAAAGGUGAACAUAUGACAAUGUUUCUAGAAGAAAAGGAGUUAUUGGAGACUCAACAAAACCAGGAUUUGGAAGAGGACAGGCAAAUAUUAUUUGACAGAGCUAGAAGCUCAGCUGCGAGCUCCUUUCCAUCCAUUGGAGAAGGGUAUCCUGCUCGGUGGGGAUUUUUUUUUUCAGACACGUGGUGACUGAUGCUUGUGUCUAGGGAAGAAAUUUUGACCCCACUGUUGAACUGUGUUGGGAGAUCUGGAUUCCAGAACGUUCACAUGGAUCUCUCAGUGAUCCUGAUUUGUCCCUGUGAGCCUUGCUUUCACCCCACCACAAGGAGG